rnacentral:rRNA from 1 species
AUAUUGAGGAGACAUGACGGUACCCAAGGAGGAAGCCCCGGCUAACUACGUGCCAGCAGCCGCGGUAAUACGUAGGGGGCAAGCGUUGUCCGGAAUUAUUGGGCGUAAAGGGCGCGUAGGCGGAUAUUUAAGUCCGGUGUGAAAGAUCACGGCUCAACCCUGAAAGUGCAUCGGAAACUGGAUGUCUUGAGGACAGGAGAGGAAAGUGGAAUUCCUAGUGUAGCAGUGAAAUGCGUAGAUAUUAGGAGGAACACCAGUGGCGAAGGCGACUUUCUGGACUGUAACUGACGCUGAGGCGCGAAAGCGUGGGGAGCAAACAGGAUUAGAUACCCUGGUAGUCCACGCCGUAAACGAUGAGUGCUAGGUGUAGAGGGUAUCCACCCCUUCUG